UACGUAGGGUGCGAGCGUUAAUCGGAAUUACUGGGCGUAAAGCGUGCGCAGGCGGCGCGUUAAGACAGGUGUGAAAGCCCCGAGCUUAACUUGGGAAUUGCGCUUGUGACUGGCGUGCUGGAGUGUGGCAGAGGGAGGUGGAAUUCCACGUGUAGCAGUGAAAUGCGUAGAGAUGUGGAGGAACACCGAUGGCGAAGGCAGCCUCCUGGGCCGACACUGACGCUCAUGCACGAAAGCGUGGGGAGCAAACAGG
rnacentral:rRNA from 1 species